rnacentral:lncRNA from 1 species
UCGUAUCUCAUUUUCAUUUAUGAAAGAGUUUUAUUUAUAAGUAAAUAGAAAUUCAAUGCAAUACAAUAAAUGAAGCUUAUUUAAGUGCUUCAUUAAGACAUUAAACAACUUGCAUAAUGAAUGAGAGGUUUUACCUUAUAAAUGAGGGGGGUUAGAAUAUGGACAUUCGCAUUUAUUUGUAACACCCUCCUCUUUUGCCUUAUUUUAAUGCUUAAAUCAAAAGGUUUUUUUUUUAAUCCCAUUUCAUAAUCCUCUCCAAAACAUAAAAGUCUCUUUUUCACCUAAUCAAACCCUAGCCAAUGCCAACUUCCCAUCUCUUUGUCUUUACACAUUAUCUUCCAGCUCAAGCCCCGUCAACACCCUAUGUGACUUAGCCCAAGUCGCCAUUAAAGUUAGCCUCGCUCGCAUCCCCAAAGUGUCAAACUAAUUAACAGUCAACAUAACGAUGGGGAAGAGCCAUUGUGGCUAAGGUUGUUAGUAAUGCUUUGUAUAUGAUUUGUAGGCUUGAUGAAAUUCAUGGUAAAGACCAUUGACGAUGAUGUUGGAUUGGACAAUCUUGAUUUAGCUAUAUUAUUUAUGUUUGUG